CAACAAAUGAAGGGUAGCUUUGU
rnacentral:siRNA from 1 species